GUCUACAGCCAUGCCACCCUGACCAUGCCGGAACUCAUCUGAUCUUGGAAGCAAAGCAGGGUCAGGCCUGGUUAGUACUUGGAUAGGAGACCACCUAGGAAUACCAGGUGCUGUAGGCG
rnacentral:rRNA from 1 species